GGCAGUGGGGCAUAGUGGUUUGAGUGUUGGACCAGGGCUCUGGAGACCAGGGUUUGAUUCCCUGCUCUGCAA